UACGAGGGAGGGCUAGCGUUGUUCGGAAUUACUGGGCGUAAAGGGCGCGUAGGCGGUACUUCAAGUCAGGCGUGAAAUUCCCGGGCUCAACCUGGGGGCUGCGCUUGAGACUGGUUGCUAGAGGCCGAGAGAGGGUGGUGGAAUUCCCAGUGUAGAGGUGAAAUUCGUAGAUAUUGGGAAGAACACCGGUGGCGAAGGCGGCCACCUGGCUCGGUACUGACGCUGAGGCGCGACAGCGUGGGGAGCAAACAGG
rnacentral:rRNA from 1 species